GGCCAGGUACGCAAAUUGGCAAAGCGGUCAGGUCGAGAGCCUGAUGUGUGUGGGUUCGACUCCCACUUCGGCCA
rnacentral:tRNA from 1 species